rnacentral:lncRNA from 1 species
UAACAACAAUGUUAAUAUUCAUCAUAUUUAUGUGAGGAGAUUUCUUAUUAAGCUCAUCAUCAUAUCAUUUUUUCUUUUUGGUUUUCAAUUUAGGCAGCUAUUACACAAACUGAAAUGAUCAAACCAGAGCGGUCUUAUUUCAUAGAAGAGAUACAAGACGCACUCUUGGCCUGUAAGAGGAGUGGGUCGCCUGUUCUUCCGCUGUCAUUAUUUUUGACAGAGGUGUGGAAGAUUCUUGCAAACUACAAAGAACUUCCGCUGAGUGAUCUUCCCGUACGGUUUGAAGACGUUCAAAUUCUGUCCAAUAUCGACUACUCUGGAAAGGGUAAGACAGUUCUUAAGGAUGCUACUUUGAAAUCAUCAAGUCUGCAGCACUAACUAGACGCGUUUGCUUAUCUUGGCUUUUUUAUUAUAAUUCAUAAUGAUUUCAUUUUUUUAAUGGGUU